rnacentral:rRNA from 1 species
UACGUAGGGGGCAAGCGUUGUCCGGAAUCACUGGGCGUAAAGCGCGCGCAGGCGGUCAUCUGCGUCUAGGGUGAAAGCCCAGAGCUCAACUCUGGGACUGCCUUGGAUACGGGGUGACUUGAGGAUCGGAGAGGCAAGGGGAAUUCCACGUGUAGCGGUGAAAUGCGUAGAGAUGUGGAGGAACACCUGUGGCGAAGGCGCCUUGCUGGCCGAUUUCUGACGCUGAGGCGCGAAAGCGUGGGGAGCAAACAGG